ensembl:processed_transcript
CACUUCACUUAAUUAAGAACACCUGACCUGCAGUGCAGCAGAAUUCAGAGCUAAGCAUGUAACUUACUCCAGAGACGCACUAACUUGCACAGCAUUGAAUGGAAAGGCUUUGUCCAAGAAGUUGAGGGGCAUCAAGAAGACGCAGAUGGCCUAAACCUGUGUCAGCCUGGACAGACUGCAGUUCUGCUACUCCACGCCAAGGCUUUUGUAUGGAUGUCUUGACUACUACUGUGUUCUGAGAAGUUUUCUGGAAGCUCCAUUUGAGGUCAUCAAGGACAUACUGAUGGCCUAAACCAGUGUCAGCCUAGACAGACAGACAGACAUCUAUUGCAGUUCUGCUACACAAGACCAAACUCUCUGCUUUUGUAUGGAUGUCUGACUAGUACAGUGUUCUCUAAAGGUAUAACUGGAGCAAAACAACAGCAUCCGUUACAGUGAAAUUUGUGUUCAUAAAAGAUAUGUGUAACAGGUCCAGUACAUUUGUCAUAAAGGUUAAAUCACAGUAAGUACUGUAAAAAUAACUUGUUUGCCUUUGCCACAACAGGUCAUGGUGUGUGCAUACUGCUCGUAGUAAACACACAUGCUGAUCUGAUGCGGGAGAGAUAUACGCAAACACAUUUGUAUUUACUGUUUUGUUUUGCCUCACUAAAGUGUUGUUGGAGCUUGGUAUGUUCACAGUUGAAAUCACUGAGGUCACAUGGAACGUUUUGACAAUGUGUUUUGUGCCUUAUCUUGACAAUGACCAUCUUGGGACUAUUGCUGUCUGUAGAGGAUGAGGAGCAUUUAAUCUCAAAUAUUUUAGUUUGUGUUCUGAAGAUUAACAGGUCUCUGGGAUGACACAAGUACUUAAUAACAUAACCUAUAUGAACAGUUAAUGUGACGUAGUGAAAUAGUGGUCCUACAUUCACAAAUGUGAGCCAUUAUUAUAAGACCCAUGUGAACAUGCAAUUUUUAUGAUACUAAUAAUAAUGGAAUAACAAAUUGCUUUUACUGUUGUGUUUGUGAGAGAGAAUCAAACCAUAUAUUCUACACAUUUUCUUGAUGAUUUACUGAAAUAUUUGUCUACAUGUUCCACUGUCACAGGUGCUCAGUUUUGCUGCAGUAAUGCUAAACACAAUAGAUGUACUUUAUGCAAAAAAAAAAAACAACAAAAAAAAAAAAAAACUACUAAAUAUUUAGCAUGCAGACCUGCAAAGUGAAGGAGUUAUGUCAGGUUUAGAUUAUAGCAUGAGUUUUCACUAUUGUGAAAGUGAAGCCAUUCAUUCACAAUGAAUUGGAAUAGCAAACCUCAUUAUUGAUUUUGUAGGAAACUCACCUGGUGUUUGAGAAAUAAAUAUGUAUUUAACUGCUAGACUGAUAUAGAUGUUUAAGUGUUUUACACUUGAUACUUUGUCCCAGUGCCAUCUUUUACCUCAAGUUUUUCUCUCAACCUAUAAAACCUCAAACAGAUGUAAUGUAUUUCACUUGUGAUUCUUAGUUGUGAGUGAUGUUUUUUAUUAUUUUUUUUUUUUUUACUGCAGCCACUUUAAAAAUGGGUAUUUUGUAAACUUUGUAAACGGAAUUGUAUUUUGGAGACUGUGAUGGUUGAAGCGUAGUUUAGUUACUUAGUUUAAUUUAGUUAGUAUCUGUCUUUCUGAAGACGGUAACACUUUGCAAUAAGGUUGUAUUAGUAAGUGUUAAUGUAUUUACUAACAUGAACAAAGAACAAUGAAGCAUCUUUCAUAUAAAGAAAGUACAGUUCAUGUCAGCUGAGUGCAUUAAUGUUAACAAGCAUGCAUUUUGAUUUUAAUAGCAUCGGGACAUAUUUCAAUUAUUUAAAUGAUUAAUAAAUGCUGUACAAGUAUUUGUUCUUUGUUCAUGUUAGUAAACAUUAACUAACUUUAAUUCAUGAAACCUAAUUAAAAAGUGACUAAUUGUAUGCCUUUUUCUGUAUUUGAGCAUGUAUAGUAACCUGCAUGGUUUUAAUGAACUAUGUAUGCUGUAAAUGUUGCUGUAUAUUUAGAAUAAUUGAAAUAAUGAGGUGUGUAUUAAAUAAAUUGAUACACAGGCUAAGUUGUGUAUUUGUGUCGUGUAUUUUUAAUUAGUAAAAAUUUGUUUGCUAUAUUUAUGGACUGUGUUGUAUGUAAUUCCUAUUUAACUUACGUUGAAAUGUAUGACGGUGAAACAACGUCACAGUAUCAACGUUGAUCCAAUUUGCAAAAUCGAAAGGUAAUUCAACCUUCAUUCAACGUCUACAAAACGACCAUAAUUCACCCAUGAAAAAGGUAAGAGUGAAACAACGUUGUGAUUUCAAUGGUGAAUCACCGGUGGUGGUCCGACGGUGAAACAACGUCACUAUAUAAACGUUGAUCCAAUUUGCAAAAUCGAAAGGUAAUUCAACGUUGAUCCAACCAUAGACCUGACGUUGAUUCAACGUUGAAUCACCGUUGAAAUGCCGGCUGGGCAGACUCACAAUUUGUGUCGUGUUCCCUCUUCCUAUCAUGCUUUUUGAUAUGAUUCAUAUUGCUGCACUGUUUAAUAACAAUAACCAAAAUACUAAAAUAGACUUACAUAUUAAAUGUUUAAUCUAAUAAACCAUAACAUUUUUGGUUGUUUUAUAUGAUGAGAUAUUUUCAGUUUCAAACA